rnacentral:rRNA from 1 species
CAGUCGCCGCGGUAAUACUGAGGGAGCUAGCGUUGUUCGGAAUUACUGGGCGUAAAGCGCACGUAGGCGGUUAUUCAAGUCAGAGGUGAAAGCCCGGGGCUCAACCCCGGAACUGCCUUUGAAACUAGAUGACUGGAAUCUUGGAGAGGUCAGUGGAAUUCCGAGUGUAGAGGUGAAAUUCGUAGAUAUUCGGAAGAACACCAGUGGCGAAGGCGACUGACUGGACAAGUAUUGACGCUGAGGUGCGAAAGCGUGGGGAGCAAACAGGAUUAGAUACCCCUGUAGUCCCUGUCUCUUAUAC